rnacentral:misc_RNA from 1 species
AGUCGUAACAAGGUAACCGUAGGUGAACCUGCGGUUGGAUCAUUAUAAAAAGAAGGGCUCUUGAGCCUGACUUUAAAAUGGGGCUGCCUAAAAAACAGCUCUUGACACCCCUUGUGAACUGUGAAUGUCCCUGGCGGGAGUACUUUCGAGUCCCCGCCAGUUUAUUGCCAAACCCCUGUUUAAAAAAGUCUUAGUAAAAUGUAAUAAUUUGAAACAACUUUUGACAACGGAUCUCUUGGCUCUC